AUUGAACGCUAGCGGGAUGCUUUACACAUGCAAGUCGAACGAGUGGCGGACGGGUGAGUAAUAUAUCGGAACGUGCCCAGUAGCGGGGGAUAACUACUCGAAAGAGUGGCUAAUACCGCAUACUCUUGGAGUGGCCGAUAUCGGAUUAGCUAGUUGGUGGGGUAAAGGCUCACCAAGGACACGAUCCGUAGCGGGUUUGAGAGGGAGACCAGCCACACGGGGGCUGAGAAACGGCCCAAACUCCCAAGGGAGGCAGCAAUUGGGAAUUUUGGGCAAUGGGGGAAACCCUUAUCCAGCCCUUCCGCGUGUAUUAGAAGGCCUUCGGGUUGGAAAGUACUUUUGGCCGGGAAGCGGGACCUGGAGAAUAAACCCCGGCUAACUAAGUGCCAGCAGCCGCGGUAAUAC
rnacentral:rRNA from 1 species